CUUGGACCAGCCUAGAGAAGCAAUGCCCUUCUGUCAUGUCUCUAGACCCAGAAUGAGCCUUUGGGACAGAAACUGAGGAGGAGUAAGUUGGGGUACAAGUAUUAGCCUUGCUCACUCAGCUGGCUAUCCUUGAUAAAACAGCAAAUGGCACUCCUUGGCCUCAUACCCCAGGCAAGAGACACCUGGUCCUUGGAGAACAAGACAGGGUCUCACUGUGUAUCCCUGGUGGACCAGGAAUUUGCUAUGUAGACCAGGAUGGCACUGAACUCACAGAGACCCACCUGUUCCUGCCUUCUGAGUGUUUGUAGUUGCUUGUUCAAUUUCCAAAGCAACCUUAUAAAGUAGCAUUUUUACUUGCCAACAUUUUACAGACAAGACAAUUGAGGAAUAAAG
rnacentral:lncRNA from 1 species